rnacentral:lncRNA from 1 species
AUGACAGUGUCAAUACACAGCGUGGCAAGAAGAGAUAUGAGAUAUGAAUUCUACAAUCUUUACUUUGAAAGAAGGUCAAGUACUGCCUUAAUAAAGAAGGAAGACAUUUGUGUGUACCGGAGAUCUCCGUGCUAUUACAGCCAACCUCCUGAGCCCGGGACAGUCUCCCUUGGGUACUGCCAGCAUCUGCUGCUCUGUCCUUCCCAACCAUCAAUAGGCCGUUUGUUUUGUUUUGUUUUCCUGGUUUCCCAGGAUUUCUUUUCUCAUAUAAAGCAUUUAUAUUUAGUCCUUGUCUCGGUGUCUUUUUGUUUUCCUAGGGAGCUUGUGGAACGUACACACCAAUGGCCCACCCGGCGUCCUCCUGUCCGAUCAUUGCUCAUUUGUACUCACGGUAGAUAAUUUCCAUGGUUUGCCACUACAAAUGCUUAUGACUUGUGUCUUCCUUUUCCUGACAGUUUUCUCUAGGACCAUUCAGUAAUUCCCCAAUGUGUUUCACAUGACUCUCAGGGAGGCCACGGAGGAUGGGUCCUGUGGCUCAGAGAAGCCUGGUCAGCAAUCUACUUCCUUUGUGCUUCUCAAACCAACGGAGCCUAACUAACUUCACAAAGAAUCCAGCAAACUAACUCUUUAAACUGACAGUUUCAUUCACCUGUAAAACAAUGCCAGUACCUUUCUGACAGUAGACCAGGCUGGCCUUAAACUCACGGAGAUCUGCUUGCCUCUGCCUCCCAAGUGCUGGGGUCAAAGAUGUGCACCUGAAAGUUACUUUUUAAAAGAAGUUAUAUGAUGGCAAAUGACUACCAUUUGGAAAAGUAUCUAUGGUUGGAUAACUAUCUUAUUCUUUAUAGCAAGACAAACUCAAAACACUCAAAGGAGCAGAAGCCAGUAUGAUCUCAGGAACCACUCAUUAAUUCGUUUUGUAUGGGUUUCUACCCUCUGCCCUUCCCUUUCUCCGUCCUUCACUGAACAGUCACAUCUUAGGGUUAUAUCUUGAAUUACUAACACUUGAAUCAUGUCUUGUUUUUUGGAUUUUUUUUUCUUUUUGUGCUAUAAGUCCAUGGUCAGCUGGCUCCACUGAUUAUUUCAAAGUACUACCAAGCAUACAAACAAAAGUCAACAAUUAUAAAAUAACAUUAGAUUAAUACAUCUUCAUCAGUUUUACAUACUUAUACAACAAAUACUUUUUGGAAACUCAACGAAUGAGAGCAUCCACCUUUUGUUUCCACGUGAAAACAUGUACUUGAACAUGUCUUUUUCUUCUGUAUCAUCUGUAGCCAAGGUUAACCAGAUUAUAAUAUUGCUUUACUCUCCAGUUUCUGUGGUUUCAAUAAUAAACCUUUUCUGGAUGGUACA